GAUGAACGCUGGCGGCGUGCCUAAUACAUGCAAGUCGAACGCACAGCGAAAGGUGCUUGCACCUUUCAAGUGAGUGGCGAACGGGUGAGUAACACGUGGAUAACCUACCUCAAGGUUGGGGAUAACAUUUGGAAACAGAUGCUAAUACCGAAUAAAACUUAGUAUCGCAUGAUACCAGGUUAAAAGGCGCUACGGCGUCACCUAGAGAUGGAUCCGCGGUGCAUUAGUUAGUUGGUGGGGUAAAGGCUUACCAAGACAAUGAUGCAUAGCCGAGUUGAGAGACUGAUCGGCCACAUUGGGACUGAGACACGGCCCAAACUCCUACGGGAGGCUGCAGUAGGGAAUCUUCCACAAUGGGCGAAAGCCUGAUGGAGCAACGCCGCGUGUGUGAUGAAGGCUUUCGGGUCGUAAAGCACUGUUGUAUGGGAAGAACAGCUAGAGUAGGGAAUGACUUUAGUUUGACGGUACCAUACCAGAAAGGGACGGCUAAAUACGUGCCAGCAGCCGCGGUAAUACGUAUGUCCCGAGCGUUAUCCGGAUUUAUUGGGCGUAAAGCGAGCGCAGACGGUUAAUUAAGUCUGAUGUGAAAGCCCGGAGCUCAACUCCGGAAAGGCAUUGGAAACUGGUUAACUUGAGUGCAGUAGAGGUAAGUGGAACUCCAUGUGUAGCGGUGGAAUGCGUAGAUAUAUGGAAGAACACCAGCGGCGAAGGCGGCUUACUGGACUGUAACUGACGUUGAGGCUCGAAAGUGUGGGUAGCAAACAGGAUUAGAUACCCUGGUAGUCCACACCGUAAACGAUGAACACUAGGUGUUA
rnacentral:rRNA from 1 species